rnacentral:rRNA from 1 species
GAUGAACGCUGACAGAAUGCUUAACACAUGCAAGUCAACUUGAACUUCGGUUUGAGUGGCGGACGGGUGAGUAACGCGUAAAGAACUUGCCCCACAGAUAGGGACAACAUUUGGAAACGAAUGCUAAUACCUGAUAUUAUGAUUUUAGGGCAUCCUAGGAUUAUGAAAGCUAUAUGCGCUGUGAGAGAGCUUUGCGUCCCAUUAGCUAGUUGGAGAGGUAACGGCUCACCAAGGCGAUGAUGGGUAGCCGGCCUGAGAGGGUGAUCGGCCACAAGGGGACUGAGACACGGCCCUUACUCCUACGGGAGGCAGCAGUGGGGAAUAUUGGACAAUGGACCAAGAGUCUGAUCCAGCAAUUCUGUGUGCACGAUGAAGUUUUUCGGAAUGUAAAGUGCUUUCAGUUGGGAAGAAAAAAAUGACGGUACCAGCAGAAGAAGUGACGGCUAAAUACGUG